UAUAGAAAAGAACAAAACUACAUUACUUGUAACAAAAAGUUGCAUUUGAAGAACUGCAGAUUUGCUACCUACAUUCCUCCUGCUAUUUGGGUGACUGGACCACCUCAUAGCUAACAGGGAAAUGUAUCAGACUGAAACAUCUUAUCAGCCAGAUACGGUGGAGGGAAGUGGAGCCUACAGCAAGAGAUGCAGAAUUGCCACCUUACGGGUGGAGCAGCUGGUCUGUCCAAAUUGCACAUCCAGCCACAAGAACAACAUAUUGGAAAAGUCUCUUCCACCUGCUUCCAGAGCGUGACUCCAAAGUUUAGCUGUGACCAGGCUUUCCGAGGAGGUAGUUCUUAGUUUCCCUCAAGUGUUUGGGCCUUCAACAACCCCUGGCAAAGAGUUACAAGCUGGCUGUGCGUAAGUGGGCUCUUCAAUCAAGCAGAGAAAGAUUAAUGUUUAGGAAUUUAAAAUCAACUUGGGUCACAGAUAUCAUCAGUGAUGUUGACAGAAAUGCUUCAAGCCAGCCUGCAGUUGUGGUGAAUAAUGAUCAGCCAGAUGAACCUCACCUUUGGAACCAUUCUCCAAUGACUACUCAGGCAAGGACUCCGAGGGCACGUCUGCCCUAGAGGGGACUUCAUUACCCUAGAAGAGAUGAGACUGCACAUUAUCUUGCUGGAGGACCACAUCAUUAGAAGCACCAGACAAUCCCGAGAGGUCUUCAGAAGGAAGUAGCAAAGGGACUAUCCUGCAAUGCCACGCCUAGCUAUGAGG